GGGUACAUGGUCUAGUGGUAUGAUUUUCGCUUCGCAUCCAUUCUCUGGAAUGCGCCUUGUGAAAGGUCCCCGGUUCAAUCCCGGGUGUAUCCA